UACGGGGGGGGCAAGCGUUGUUCGGAAUUACUGGGCGUAAAGGGCUCGUAGGCGGCCAACUAAGUCGGAUGUGAAAUCCCCAGGCUCAACCUGGGAACUGCAUCCGAUACUGGAUGGCUUGAAUUCGGGAGAGGGAUGCAGAAUUCCAGGUGUAGCGGUGAAAUGCGUAGAUAUCUGGAGGAAUACCGGUGGCGAAGGCGGCAUCCUGGACCGACAUUGACGCUGAGGAGCGAAAGCCAGGGAAGCAAACGGG
rnacentral:rRNA from 1 species